GAUGAACGCUGGCGGCGUGCCUAAUACAUGCAAGUCGAGCGAACAGACGAGGAGCUUGCUCCUCUGACGUUAGCGGCGGACGGGUGAGUAACACGUGGAUAACCUACCUAUAAGACUGGGAUAACUUCGGGAAACCGGAGCUAAUACCGGAUAAUAUAUUGAACCGCAUGGUUCAAUAGUGAAAGACGGUUUUGCUGUCACUUAUAGAUGGAUCCGCGCCGCAUUAGCUAGUUGGUAAGGUAACGGCUUACCAAGGCAACGAUGCGUAGCCGACCUGAGAGGGUGAUCCGCCACACUGGAACUGAGACACGGUCCAGACUCCUACGGGAGGCAGCAGUAGGGAAUCUUCCGCAAAGGGCGAAAGCCUGACGGAGCAACGCCGCGUGAGUGAUGAAGGUCUUCGGAUCGUAAAACUCUGUUAUUAGGGAAGAACAAAUGUGUAAGUAACUAUGCACGUCUUGACGGUACCUAAUCAGAAAGCCACGGCUAACUACGUG
rnacentral:rRNA from 1 species